rnacentral:rRNA from 1 species
UUGUGUCUUCGAGUCGUUGAUUUCACACUGCCGAGAAAAGCCUCUAGAUAGAAAAUAGGUGCCCGUACCGCAAACCGACACAGGUAGUCAAGAUGAGAAUUCUAAGGUGAGCGAGCGAACUCUCGUUAAGGAACUCGGCAAAAUGACCCCGUAACUUCGGGAGAAGGGGUGCUCUUUAGGGUUAACGCCCAGAAGAGCCGCAGUGAAUAGGCCCAAGCGACUGUUUAUCAAAAACACAGGUCUCUGCUAAACCGUAAGGUGAUGUAUAGGGGCUGACGCCUGCCCGGUGCUGGAAGGUUAAGAGGAGUGGUUAGCUUCUGCGAAGCUACGAAUCGAAGCCCCAGUAAACGGCGGCCGUAACUAUAACGGUCCUAAGGUAGCGAAAUUCCUUGUCGGGUAAGUUCCGACCCGCACGAAAGGCGUAACGAUUUGGGCACUGUCUCAACGAGAGACUCGGUGAAAUCAUAGUACCUGUGAAGAUGCAGGUUACCCGCGACAGGACGGAAAGACCCCGUGGAGCUUUACUGUAGCCUGAUAUUGAAAUUCGGCACAGCUUGUACAGGAUAGGUAGGAGCCUUUGAAACGUGAGCGCUAGCUUACGUGGA